rnacentral:tRNA from 1 species
UGUGGCUUCAUAGCUCAGUUGGUAGAGCAUCGCACUAGUAACGCGGAGGUCAUGGGUUCCAAUCCCGUUGUUUCAG